CCUACGGGAGGCAGCAGUGAGGAAUAUUGGUCAAUGGCCGGAAGGCUGAACCAGCCAUGCCGCGUGAAGGUCAGUGCCCUAUGGGCGUUAAACUUCUUUUGUGCGGGAGCAAUAAUGGUCACGUGUGGCCAGACGAGAGUACCGUACGAAUAAGCAUCGGCUAACUCCGUGCCAGCAGCCGCGGUAAUACGGGGGAUGCAAGCGUUAUCCGGAUUUAUUGGGUUUAAAGGGUGCGUAGGCUGUGAGGUAAGUCAGCGGUGAAAUGCCCCCGCUCAACGGGGUGAAGUGCCAUUGAUACUGCCUGGCUGGAAUGCGGAUGCCGUGGGAGGAAGGUGUGGUGUAGCGGUGAAAUGCAUAGAUAUCACAAAGAACACCGAUUGCGAAGGCAUCUCACGAAUCCGCGAUUGACGCUGAUGCACGAAAGCGUGGGUAUCAAACAGGAUUAGAUACCCUUGUAGUC
rnacentral:rRNA from 1 species